rnacentral:rRNA from 1 species
GCAAGCAGCCAUAUCACCCUGCAACUAGCGACUGUCAGCCCAGUGAAGCUCAGCAGUGUGAGCCUGGUUAGUACCUGGAUGGGAGACCUCCUGGGAAAACUGAGGCUGCUGCUGGAA